AACAUUCUGGAAAGUAUAACCAUAGAGGGUGAUAGUCCCGUAUGCGAAAAACAAACCUUAGCUAGCAGUAUCCUGAGUAGGGCGGGACACGAGGAAUCCUGUCUGAAUCCGGGUCGACCACGAUCCAACCCUAAAUACUAAUACCAGAUCGAUAGUGCACAAGUACCGUGAGGGAAAGGUGAAAAGAACUGAGGUGAUCAGAGUGAAAUAGAACCUGAAACCAUUUGCUUACAAUCAUUCAGAGCCCUAUGUAGCAAUACAGGGUGAUGGACUGCCUUUUGCAUAAUGAGCCUGCGAGUUGUGGUGUCUGGCAAGGUUAAGCAAACGCGAAGCCGUAGCGAAAGCGAGUCUGAAUAGGGCGCUUAGUCAGAUGCUGCAGACCCGAAACGAAGUGAUCUAUCCAUGAGCAAGUUGAAGCUAGUGUAAGAACUAGUGGAGGACUGAACCCAUAGGCGUUGAAAAGCCCCGGGAUGACUUGUGGAUAGGGGUGAAAGGCCAAUCAAACUUCGUGAUAGCUGGUUCUCUCCGAAAUAUAUUUAGGUAUAGCGUUGUGUCGUAAUAUAAGGGGGUAGAGCACUGAAUGGGCUAGGGCAUACACCAAUGUACCAAACCCUAUCAAACUCCGAAUACCUUAUAUGUAAUCACAGCAGUCAGGCGGCGAGUGAUAAAAUCCGUCGUCAAGAGGGAAACAACCCAGACUACCAGCUAAGGUCCCUAAAUCUUACUUAAGUGGAAAACGAUGUGAAGUUACUUAAACAACCAGGAGGUUGGCUUAGAAGCAGCCAUCCUUUAAAGAAAGCGUAAUAGCUCACUGGUCUAGUGAUUUUGCGCGGAAAAUA
rnacentral:rRNA from 1 species